GGAUCUGCAGGUAUACUGAGACAUUACAAUGUGCAAGCAGGAACUAGGAUUUGGGUAGAAUACGUGUCUUCUCAAAAUGGAGUUUUUCAAAAGGGAAAACUGACUUCAUGUUAUUGUAGUUUCUCUCUCUCUCUCUCUCCACCUCUGUCUCUCUCCUAGACAAUAAUUUGCUCUACUUCCAUUAGGAUGUUGAGGGUGAUCCGUGCAGACUGGAACAAAAUAGUACUAACUUUUUUUUUUUUUUUUUCCAGUCAGACAGAUUGCUCUAGAGUCUACCCAAUUUAACAACAGUUUGUACUCGCUGGUGUUUUGAACAUGAAAAGAGCUUUCAAAGUGAAAGAACCAAUUUGAAAAGAGCUUCAGCAUCGCUGAUGGGCCAGGAGAAAAUGGGACUUUCCCAGUUGUGGAAUGGCAACGCGCUCCAUCGCCUUGAGGGCAGCAAUGAACAAGGACUCAGCCUCUCAGCCCUUUAGUCCCAGAUGUGGUAACAGCUCCUUUGAUGUACCUGCGCUGGAGUACUUACUAUUCCCAGAACCCCGCCUAUACUUUAAAAUCACCAUUUUAUGAAUAAGAAAACUGAGGCCAAGAGAAGUUUUUAUACGUGUUCAAGUUCACCCUGUUGGUCAGUGG